rnacentral:rRNA from 1 species
AGCAGUCGCCGCGGGAAUACGUAGGUGGCAAGCGUUGUCCGGAAUUAUUGGGCGUAAAGGGCUCGCAGGCGGUUUCUUAAGUCUGAUGUGAAAGCCCCCGGCUCAACCGGGGAGGGUCAUUGAAAACUGGGAAACUUGAGUGCAGAAGAGGAGAGUGGAAUUCCACGUGUAGCGGUGAAAUGCGUAGAGAUGUGGAGGAACACCAGUGGCGAAGGCGACUCUCUGGUCUGUAACUGACGCUGAGGAGCGAAAGCGUGGGGAGCGAACAGGAUUAGAUACCCGCGUAGUCCCUGUCUCUUAUAC